AUGUCUCGCUGCUUCCCGUUUCCGCCCCCAGGAUAUGUCAAGACCGCGCGCCCCGACGCCCACCUAGCCUCGCCCCUGCUCGACAAGGAGAAACACAAGGAGAAGAAGCAUAAGAAGGACAAGAAGGACAAAGAUAAAAAAGAAAAGAAGGAUAAAGAAAGGAGUAAAGAUAAGCACAGAGAUAAAAAAGAUCGCAAAGAGAAGCACAAAGACAAGAAAAAGGACAAGAGCAAAGAUAAAAGCAGGGAAUCUGAAGGGACUGACAGACAUGGUGAGGCUCUCCUUGGUCAGAAGUUUGGAGAGAGCAGCAGGAAAUCUGAAGAAAUUAAGGACCCUAUAUUCAGGGAGGAACUGGUUAGAAAGACACAAGAUCAGAAAGGGGUGGAGAAUCGAGCUGUUAACAACUUCACUAUUUCAAAUGAUCGAAGUCGUGAAGGUUUUAGUGCUGCACCUGCACUGGAGAAUGACAGGACCGCAGUUAACAAAAUGCGUAUUCACUCUAUUGAUGCUUCAAGGAGAAGUGAGGGCUUGGGGCAACAGACCAUCACUAUCAAUCAACAGAAAAAUGGGACAUCGAUUCGACGCAGCGAGAACCUCAACAGUUCAUCUCAAGGCGGCUCUGAUGGCUUUAGUACGACACCUAUGGUGGAGAAGGAAAGAGUCAAAGUCACGAGACCUCCCUCCAACUCUACUGAUUCUGUGCCAAGGAAAGAGGGAACGGGGCAGCGUAUCAGUAACAUUAGCAUACUGGUGCAGAAGAGAACUGAGAGCCCAAAUAAAGAGACUGCAAAGAAAGAAAUUGGCACCAGCUCUCCGUUGCUUCGAAGCCCUGCUAAUGCUCUGCACAAGGGAAAUGGUAAGGUUGGUCGUCCGGUGGAUAGCGCACCAACAUCCAUGCAGAGGUUUGAGAGUCCAUCAACAUCUGGCGCAUCAACAGGGAUGGAUAGAAGUCUACCUAGGUCAACUAUCCCAAGCCCAAGCAUUACAAUCCGAAGGCCAAAUGGGAUGGUUCGGCCAACUGAAAACUUUUCCAUUUCUGCUACUAAGCCCAAUGCUGGAGGUGUUUCACCUGCCAUGGGCAAGGAAAAGGGACCAGGUGGAAGAAUGCCACAGAAUACUGUUUCAGCUGAUCAGAAACUGGUUGGUGCUAAGCCCCCAGCUGUGGGCAAGGAAAAGGAACCAGGUGGAAGAGUGCUGCAUCCUUGUGUUUCAACUGAUCAGAAACAGGUUGAUUCUAAAUCCCCAGCUGUGGAGAAAAUUGCAGUUGGAAGAGCUGAAAGGGUGGAAAAGGUCAGAGAUGGGGCAUCUGAUGAUACAAAGAAAGAGGACAAAAAACGUGAGCGGCAUGAGAAAAAGAAGAGGAAAGAGAAACACAAAGAGAAGAAAAAGGAAAAGGAGGCAAAGAAGGAGAAACAGGAACAUAAUCACAAAGAGCAUGAUAAGUUAAGAGAAAACAGUAUAGAUUAUCAGAUAGACAGUCUGAUAGAUAGUCUUGACACGAAGCCCUUAACCCCUCCCUUGGCUCCUCCAGCUGAUGAUGCUAAAGUUAUCCUAGCUGAUGAAAACCUGAAGAAGCGAAAGAACCACGAGAUGAAUGGUUACCUACAAAACCAUCAUGAAAUGCGGCCUACAAAGUUGCCGAGACCAGCCCCCUCCAGCAAUCAUGUGGAGAAUGGUACAGCAUCUCAUGUAGCCGCGCCACCCUCUUCCAUGAAGCCAGAUGCCAUGAAAAUCGAAAAGGCUGAACGGCUCCCUAAGAAGGAAGAGAAGGUCAAUGGCAACAAGGAAGCUCAGCAGCGACCUUCACUCGAUUCAGGGCUUCGAGAUCCUCUCCCUAAUAAGAAGGAAGAGAAGGUCAAUGGCAACAAGGAAGCUCAGCAGCGACCUUUGGUCGAUACAGGGCUUCGAGAUCCUCUCCCUAAGAAGGAAGAGAAGGCCAAUGUCAACAAGGAAGCUCAGCAGCGACCUCAGGUCGUUACAGGGCUUCGAGAUCCUCUCCCUAAGAAGGAAGAGAAGGUGACUGUCAGCAAGGAGGCUCAGCAGCGACCUGCGGUCGUUUCAGGGCUUCGAGAUCCUCUCCCUAAGAAGGAAGAGAAGGUUACUGUCAGCAAGGAGGCUCAGCAGCGACCUGCGGUCGUUUCAGGGCAUCGGGAUCCUGGGGCAUCAUCUGGGAAUGGCGCACCUGCUAGGAAGUCGGCUCACCCGGAUUUCAAGUAUCUGGGGCAGAUAUACAGCAUCCCUGAAGCACCUCAGAUCAUGGAGUGCGACUACGGCGACCAGGACUGGCUGUUCGAUCGAUGUAGCACCCAGCCAGAGAAGCCCAAGAUGGAGACGGAGGCCGACGGAGUGCCCCAAGUGUGGGCUGAGGCUAUGAAAAUCGACCCGGCCGACGUCAUCGCUCUGCCAUACGUCAUUCCUUUCUGA
rnacentral:rRNA from 1 species